GAUGAAGAACGUAGCGAAAUGCGAUAAGUAAUGUGAAUUGCAGAAUUCAGUGAAUCAUCGAAUCUUUGAACGCACAUUGCGCCCGCCAGUAUUCUGGCGGGCAUGCCUGUUCGAGCGUCAUUUCAACCAUCAAGCCCCCGGCUUGUGUUGGGGACCUGCGGCUGCCGCAGGCCCUGAAAACCAGUGGCGGGCUCGCUAGUCACUCCGAGCGUAGUAGUACAUCUCGCUCAGGGCGUGCUGCGGGUUCCGGCCGUUAAAAAGCCUUAUUUACCCAAGGUUGACCUCGGAUCAGGUAGGAAGACCCGCUGAACUUAAGCAUAUCAAUAAGCGGAGGA
rnacentral:misc_RNA from 1 species